GGUAAAAUGGCCGAGAGAAAGGCGGUGGUUUGUAGCUCCAACAAUAGAGGUUAAAGUCCUCUUUUUAUCA
rnacentral:tRNA from 1 species